GAAAUCUGCUAAUAACGUUACGAUUAUACCAGCAAUAUACUUUUAAUGAUUCAUAUGCACAUAUGUAAGUAAUCAUCUAGUGUACAUUGGGUUCUCAAGAUUGCUUAAAUGUGCUCUUUACCCUAAACAACGUAAGAUUUCCCAAAGCUCUAGGAAAGAAUAACCACCUUAUUCUAGAAAGCAUGAUUUGGCAAAUUGGCAUUUCAUCAGAGUUGAAGUUUUCUACGGGACACUACUCUGUAACUUUAAUCGUUAAUCUGCCCAUGAAUUCAAUCACACUUUUUAUUACUCUAAUUAGACUGUUUCAUCAGUUCUACCUAGUGUCGUGGACCAGAUGAGGGAUUUAUUUAUCGUUGAGUGUUCUUGCCUUCCCGAAUUUCUACCCAAGAACCAACUUUUAGACGUGAAAAGGGACUUCCGGAAGAUUUUAGAAAAGUGUUCCUAUAACUGUAUAGAGUCACAUAUGUGUCAAGCAAGAAAAUAUAUUCUCUCAUUAGCUAAGUAACAAAACACAUUCUCCCCGAUCUAAUCUACAAAACCUCUAAAUUUUCUUGUAUUCUUAAAGCUGUAGUAAGCAUAAUCUUGCUAGAGUCGAACGUAUGUGCCUAGCAAGAACAAUCAAAGCCGUGACACUAGAGACCUUCCUAAGAUAAUGCAGUAUAUUAAGAUGCACUAGCACAUAUUGUCCUCCAAUUGCUUCCUGAGUUGUAUGUAGUCUCUAAUUGCAUACAAACUCAAAGAAAUGAAUAAAAGUAACAUAUAUAAUAAAGCUCUUGAGCCAAGGAAAGAAAUUCUGAACAUUACCUUGCAUUACCCACUCGCUUGUUUCUGUGCUUACUUCUACCUCAGGUGUAGCAAACAGAACCCUGCUGCAGCCGCCUUCAGUCAACAAUUUAUAAUCACAAACAUCAGAAAAUAUGGAUUUCAAUAAGAACCUAUGCGUGGAAGGCAGAACCAGUCUAUGAAAAGGAACUAGAAGAGUUCUCCCAAAGUUAGAAGACAAAGCUACAAUGUUAACAGCGUAGCUUGAGCCUGUGCUUAGGUGCGAAAAUCGAAGGUGAUAUGGAUUUCAAUACGAACUAAUGCGUGGAAAAGCAGAAACAGUCUAUGAAAAGGAACUAGAAGAGUUCUCCCAAAGUUAGAAGACAAAGCCAGGUGCGAAAAUCGAAGAUGAUAUCCUCUCCCGAGGAGAUUGCUAGUUUGCUACAGAAUCAACAGAUGUACUCGGUAGACGAAAUUAUAACUUACCGUUUGUAGAUGAAAGCUGCAAAGCCGACGGUGUCUGAGGA